rnacentral:rRNA from 1 species
AUUGAACUCUGUCGGCAGGCCUAACACAUGCAAGUCGAACGAGUGGCGGACGGGUGAGUAAUGUCUGGGAAACUGCCUGAUGGCGUGGGAUAACUUCUGGAACCGGUAGCUAAUAACGCAUACCAUCGGAUGUGCCCAGAUGUGAUUAGCUGGUAGGUGGGGUAAAGGCUCACCUAGGCGACGAUCCCUAGCUGGUCUGAGAGGAUGACAGGCCACACUGGAACUGAGACACGGUCCAGACUCCUACGGGAGGCAGCAGUGGGGAAUAUUGCACAAGGGGCGAAAGCCUGAUGCAGCCAUGCCGCGUGUAUGAAGAAGGCCUUCGGGUUGGAAAGUACUUUCAGCGGGGAGGCGUUACCCGAAGAAGAAGCACCGGCUAACUACGUGCCAGCAGCCGCGGUAAUAC